rnacentral:rRNA from 1 species
AGAGCGAACGCUGGCGGCAGGCCUAACACAUGCAAGUCGAACGGACCCUUCGGGGUUAGUGGCGGACGGGUGAGUAACACGUGGGAACGUGCCUUUUGGUUCGGAAUAGCUCCUGGAAACGGGUGGUAAUGCCGAAUGUGCCCUUCGGGGGAAAGAUUUAUCGCCAUUAGAACGGCCCGCGUCUGAUUAGCUAGUUGGUGAGGUAAUGGCUCACCAAGGCGACGAUCAGUAGCUGGUCUGAGAGGAUGACCAGCCACAUUGGGACUGAGACACGGCCCAAACUCCUACGGGAGGCAGCAGUGGGGAAUCUUGCGCAAUGGGCGAAAGCCUGACGCAGCCAUGCCGCGUGAAUGAAUGAAAGGUCUUAAGGAUUAGUAAAAAUUCUUUCACCGGGACGAUAAUGACGGUACCCGGAGAAAGAAGCCCCGGCUAACUUCGUGCCAGCAGCCGAC